ACCCGGUCGGCCAUGACGGUGGCGGCGGCGCGGCCGAUCUCGUGGUAGCUGAGGCGGGGGCCACGAGCACCAGCGUGGCCUCGGUGUCCUCGGGGAGCUGCUGGUGGAGCUGUGGGCCGAGCUGCGCCCUGGAGGGGCUCUGCCCGGCCCCAUGCAGCUCCCUCAUCUCCACAGCCCGCUGCUCCCGCAGCAGUGCGCGCUGCUCCGCGUCCUUCUGCUCCCCGUCCGAGCACUGCAGCUGCGCCGCCGGCAGCGUCCACACCGACUCGGCCUCACUGGGGUGCUUGUGCCGCAGCAGCAGCGCCCGCAGGACGUCGUCGCGGUGCUGCGGCUUCAGCUGCCCCCUCGUAGAUGAGCUGAUCCAGCAGCACG
rnacentral:lncRNA from 1 species